UUGGAGGGCAAGUCUGGUGCCCGCAGCCGCGGUAAUUCCAGCUCCAAUAGCGUAUAUUAAAGUUGUUGCAGUUAAAAAGCUCGUAGUUGAAUUUCGGGAUUGACGUGAUGGUCAUGCCUUAAGGGGUAUGAACUGUUACAGUUGAUUUCUCACCUUCUGGAGAAACUUGAUGUCCUUUAUUGGGUGUCUUGCGGAUCCAGGACCUUUACCUUGAAAAAAUUAGAGUGUUUAAAGCAGGCAUUUUUGCUCGAAUACAUUAGCAUGGAAUAAUAGAAUAGGACGGCAUGGUUUUAUUUUGUUGGUUUCUAGGAUCACCGUAAUGAUUAAUAGGGAUAGUUGGGGGCGUUAGUAUUCAAUUGUCAGAGGUGAAAUUCUUGGAUUUAUUGAAGACUAACUACUGCGAAAGCAUUUGCCAAGGAUGUUUUCAUUAAUCAAGAACGAAAGUUAGGGGAUCGAAGACGAUCAGAUACCGUCGUAGUCUUAACCAUAAACUAUGCCGACUAGGAAUCAGACGAUGUUAAUUUUUUAAUGACUCGUUUGGCACCUUACGGGAAACCAAAGUGUUUGGGUUC
rnacentral:rRNA from 1 species